CCUACGGGUGGCAGCAGUGAGGAAUAUUGGUCAAUGGACGAGAGUCUGAACCAGCCAAGUAGCGUGAAGGAUGACUGCCCUAUGGGUUGUAAACUUCUUUUAUAUGGGAAUAAAACGUUCCACGUGUGGGAUUUUGUAUGUACCAUAUGAAUAAGGAUCGGCUAACUCCGUGCCAGCAGCCGCGGUAAUACGGAGGAUCCGAGCGUUAUCCGGAUUUAUUGGGUUUAAAGGGAGCGUAGGUGGAUUGUUAAGUCAGUUGUGAAAGUUUGCGGCUCAACCGUAAAAUUGCAGUUGAAACUGGCAGUCUUGAGUACAGUAGAGGUGGGCGGAAUUCAUGGUGUAGCGGUGAAAUGCUUAGAUAUCACGAAGAACUCCGAUUGCGAAGGCAGUUCACUGGACUGCAACUGACACUGAGGCUCGAAAGUGUGGGUAUCAAACAGGAUUAGAUACCCCGGUACUC
rnacentral:rRNA from 1 species